GCCUCGGUAGCUCAACUUGGAUUCAGAGCGGCUGCGUAAGAAGCAGUAGGUUGAGGGUUCAAAUCCCUUCCGGGGCA
rnacentral:tRNA from 1 species